rnacentral:lncRNA from 1 species
GUUCAACCACCAUAUGGUUUUGGUUAUGGAAAUGUUGAGGGAUAUAAUGGACAAGUUUACCAAGAGUUGAUACAUUUUCAUAUGAAUUCACAACCACCACAAAUGUUUAGUGAUGAGAAUCCUAAUGCAUGCAUUGUCAUGUGAAGUGUGAGUUGUCACUAUGUCAGAAAUUAAUUUCAAUUCAAUUCAAUUCAACAUGGUGGUGGUGAUGAAUGAUGAUAAUCAUGAUAGUGGUCUUUUAUUGAUUCCAUGAGACAGGGAAAAAAGAGUAGCAACUAGAGUGGUCAGUGAGUCACUAGAGUCUUUCUUAUUGUUUUCUUUUUAAAAAAAAUGUUUUGUUCUAUGUAUGUAAGGAAGGGUUUUGAUGCAAUUAAAUUAACCAAUACAUAUGGAAAUACCAAUUUAAUAAUUUGUUGUUUUUGCUCCAUUUGUAAUGCAAUCAAGAUUUUAGGCUAUUUUAGAUUUGCUAUAAGAUUAAUUUUCGAGUCGUCGUAAUGGUGUGACUUUUUGUGCCUCUCUCUUUGUGUAUCUUGAACGACUCCAAAAAUCA